AGGGAAUAGAUACCCGGGUAGUCCUGGCAGUAAACGGUGCACGUUUGGUGUGGGCGCAAUCGACCGCGUCCGCGCCGGAGCUAAACGCGUUAAACGUGCCGCCUGGGAAGUACGGUCGCAAGAUUAAAACUCAAAGAAAUUGACGGGGACCCGCACAAGCGGUGGAGUAUGUGGCUUAAUUCGAUGCAACGCGAAGAACCUUACCUGGUCUUGACAUGCAUUGUGUCUCCGGUGAAAGCCGGAUAGGGUAGCAAUACCCGCUUUGCACAGGUGCUGCAUGGCUGUCGUCAGCUCGUGUCGUGAGAUGUUGGGUUAAAGUCCCGCAACGAGCGCAACCCCUGUGAUUUGUUGCCACCGGCUUAUGCCGAGCACUCGAAUCAGACUGCCUCGAUCAACGAGGAGGAAGGUGGGGAUGACGUCAAGUCCGUAUGGCCUUACGACCAGGGCUGCACACGUACUACAAUGCCCAGUACAAUGUGAA
rnacentral:rRNA from 1 species